GAAGCACCGGUGAUCAAGAAGCAGUGGACUGCACCCACACACUUCAGGGCACCGCCCACCCACGUGUACCGCGGUCAGUUCCUCCCAGGGAUGCUUCUGGGGACCAGCAACCAGCUGGGAAUCCAGCAACCAGCAUCGCGUCUCGGGUAUCAGAAGGAGGUUAAGGGCCCUCAGCUUCCCGGCGCCACCUUUGUAGCAGUAUGGAGGCGACGCGUCGAGUAGGGGACCGACUAUGAACUUGGGGGCACCCAAGGAUUCCCUCUCCGCGACUGAAACCAGCAGACGAGAGCCUGACGACUGCCUUUCAGUCUUGCCCGCCUCCAGGCCCAGAGCAUGGAUGGCAGUGCCAGCAAGGAAAAGCAAUAUUUCACUCACCUAACGCGGGCCCCUGAGGUUCCACUGCAAAGGCUGCCAUUGCGUCGGCAACUACACUUAAAACCAGUACCUUCCCAAUUAAUUUUCAAAAAUGGCGGAAACGCUCCCCACGGGUAACGGCGUGCUACCUUAUGGGGUUGCGUAACUUCCGGACCUGCGCUAUGCUUAAGUUGUAGGCGCCGGAGCCAUUUUGGAAUAGGGCAAAGUCUUUGCGCUGAGAAUUUCCGAGGAAAGGGUUUUUGCACCGGGAAGGUGGCGAACCAGCGUAUGGUUCUGUGAAUGCUUUUCAUCCGGGAAUGCUUCCUGAUUUGUGGGUACUUAAGUUACAUAGAAGCACAGAUUAUUUUACUCACGGUUUCAUAAUUAGCGUGAGUUGACCCAGUGCUCUAUCAUCGGUCAGCUUUUCUGAGUAGCACCUGGAAAAGUCAGCUUGAUGAAAACAGUUGGUGCCUCUUUGCAAUGUCGAUUUCUGGACUUAGUACAUGACGCUUUUUCCUCAAAGCAUGUUUUCUACUAUCCGUAUGCCAUUUCUUUUAAAUUUUGUGUUAUGUAGACAAUUUUACAUUAAAGCGUAACUCAUA